rnacentral:tRNA from 1 species
GCUCUGGUGGCUAAACGGUUAAGCAUUCGGCUGCUAACCAAGAUACUGGCAGUUCGACUCCACUAGGCCC